rnacentral:misc_RNA from 1 species
GAUGAAGAACGUAGCGAAAUGCGAUAAGUAAUGUGAAUUGCAGAAUUCAGUGAAUCAUCGAAUCUUUGAACGCACCUUGCGCUCCUUGGUAUUCCGAGGAGCAUGCCUGUUUGAGUGUCAUGAAAUUCUCAACCUUUCUGGCUUUUGCUAGUCAGGCUUGGAUUAUGGGAGCUGCUGGCUUUUACAAGUCUGCUCUUCUAAAAUGCAUUAGCAAGAUCAUUGCUGCUCAUCAUUGGUAUGAUAAUUAUCUAUAUCAUUGAGAGUCUGCAUCCUUUAUGGAAGGAUUUUGCUUCUAACCGUCUUUUCCUGAGACAACAUUUGACAAUUUUGACCUCAAAUCAGGUAGGAUUACCCGCUGAACUUAAGCAUAUCAAUAAGCGGAGGA